UACAGAGGGUGCGAGCGUUAAUCGGAGUUACUGGGCGUAAGGGGCGCGUAGGCGGUUAUUUAAGUGAGAUGUGAAAUCCCUGGGCUUAACCUAGGAACUGCAUCUCAUACUGGAUAGCUAGAGUAUUGUAGAGGGUAGUGGAAUUUCCGGUGUAGCGGUGAAAUGCGUAGAGAUCGGAAGGAACACCAGUGGCGAAGGCGGCUACCUGGACAAAUACUGACGCUGAGGCGCGAAAGCGUGGGGAGCAAACAGG
rnacentral:rRNA from 1 species